GACAGAGGGGGCAAGCGUUGUUCGGAAUUACUGGGCGUAAAGGGCUCGUAGGCGGCCAACUAAGUCAGACGUGAAAUCCCCAGGCUUAACCUGGGAACUGCGUCUGAUACUGGAUGGCUUGAAUUCGGGAGAGGGAUGCAGAAUUCCAGGUGUAGCGGUGAAAUGCGUAGAUAUCUGGAGGAAUACCGGUGGCGAAGGCGGCAUCCUGGACCGACAUUGACGCUGAGGAGCGAAAGCUAGGGGAGCAAACGGG
rnacentral:rRNA from 1 species